GAUGAAGAACGUAGUGAAAUGCGAUAAGUAAUGUGAAUUGCAGAAUUCAGUGAAUCAUCGAAUCUUUGAACGCACAUUGCGCCCCUUGGUAUUCCGAGGGGCAUGCCUGUUCGAGCGUCAUUAUAACCCUUCAAGCUCAGCUUGGUGUUGGGGCCUGCUGUAACUGGUAGCCCUUAAAAUCAGUGGCAGUGCUAUUAGGCUCUAAGCGUAGUAAUUCUUCUCGCUAUAGUGUGUAGUGAGCGCUUGCCAGAACCCCAAACUUUUAUAUGAUUGACCUCGGAUCAGGUAGGGAUACCCGCUGAACUUAAGCAUAUCAAUAGCGGAGGA
rnacentral:misc_RNA from 1 species